AGCCAGCAGGACAGCAGGGUGGUGCUGGGGAGGGACGCCCAGUGGGAGCAGAUCCUGGCCAGGGCCGCCUGUGUCAGGGACAUCUGCAGAGAGAGGCCUUACCAGCAUGCAGGAGACAUGGUGGCUGCCAUUUCACUCACUUUAAAACAGUGCAACAGACCAGACCUGGCAACCCCGGCUGCUCUCAUCCUGCAGGGACCACAGGAGCUGUGUCGAGCAGAGGUGGUGGAUAUUAUCUCAGCAUGGAGAACUGUUUGGCCUGAGCUCAGCUGUCACUCACAGCCAGAG